AUGCGAUUUCCUAAUGCUAGUGAAGUUGAGAGAGCAUGCUGUUAUGGGAAACGCUUGCCGCUGAAAGAGGGGAAUAUUGUGGUAUGCAUUACUCCUUGGACCGCUUCGAUUGGAGCUAAAGGCAUGCUGGAAAAAGCGUGGGUUAGGGUUCGCAACAUUCCCAUAGAGAAAAGGUGCACUGAACAUGUGGCUUAUGCCGGGGCUCUAGUGGGGAUUACAUUAGAGGUGGAUGAAUCGACUGUGCAUAAACCAGAGUAUGCUAGAAUUCUUCUUGGCUGCAUAGAUGUUGAGAAAAUCCCUCCUUCAGCUGAAGGAGUGCUGGGAGAGCAAAUAUAUGAUUUCUUUUAUGAAGUUGAAAAAGUUGUGACUAUGGGUGCUGGGAAAAGUCAAGCCUAUACUGCUGUGGACAGCAGUGCAUCACCUUCUGUCCCCAAGAAAGCAAGGAUGGAUUCAUAUCCUGCUUCUUCAACGGGGCAGGGGGAGACUAGUGCUUCCCCCCCCCCCAGAACUAUGAUAAGGGAAUACAGAGGCUUCCUGCAGUAG
rnacentral:rRNA from 1 species